rnacentral:lncRNA from 1 species
CACCUGUGGUUGUUUGAAGUGAAAAAAAAAAAUUCCUAAUCAUAAUCGAAACCGAUUAGAUUCAGACUCAAACAAUUUUGAUAGGUCUCAUGUUGAUCAGAAAAUUUUGGGGCCAAUAAUUAUAAUUUCUACAAUAGGCCCAUUCAUGAAAUGUGAAUUAAUGGGCCUCAUGAAAGCCCUUUAAAAUUUUAGGCCUAUACAAUAA